CGGGCGCGGCGCCGGUCUAAGUCUCUUGGAACGGGGCGUCAUAGAGGGUGAGAAUCCCGUAUGUGACCGGUGACCAACCCUAUGUGAAACUCCUUCGACGAGUCGAGUUGUUUGGGAAUGCAGCUCAAAAUGGGUGGUAUAUUUCAUCUAAAGCUAAAUACCGGCCAGAGACCGAUAGCGCACAAGUAGAGUGAUCGAAAGAUGAAAAGCACUUUGGAAAGAGAGUCAAAAAGAUACGUGAAAUUGUUGAAAGGGAAGCGCGCGCAACCAGACCUGAACGCGGCCGAUCAACCCUACUUGUGGGCGGUGCACUCGACCAAGAGCAGGCAAACAUCAGCUCGGGCGGCCGGAUAAAGGCCCUGGGAACGUAGCUCCUUUCGGGGAGUGUUAUAGCCCAGGGUGUAAUGCGGCUCGCCUGGACCGAGGACCGCGCUUCGGCUAGGAUGCUGGCGUAAUGGUUGUGAGCGGCCCGUCUUGAAACACGGACCAAGGAGUCUAACAUCUAUGCGAGUGUUUGGGUGUCAAACCCAUGCGCGUAAUGAAAGUGAACGGAGGUGGGAACCCUUUCGGGGGCGCACCAUCGACCGAUCCAGAUGUCUUCGGAUGGAUUUGAGUACGAGCAUAGCUGUUGGGACCCGAAAGAUGGUGAACUAUGCCUGAAUAGGGUGAAGCCAGAGGAAACUCUGGUGGAGGCUCGCAGCGGUUCUGACGUGCAAAUCGAUCGUCAAAUUUGGGUAUAGGGGCGAAAGACUAAUCGAACCAUU
rnacentral:rRNA from 1 species